UACGGAGGGUGCAAGCGUUAUCCGGAUUCACUGGGUUUAAAGGGAGCGUAGGCGGAUUGAUAAGUCAGUGGUGAAAGCCCCAAGCUCAACUUGGGAAUUGCCAUUGAUACUGUUAAUCUUGAGUGCGGUUGAAGUGGGCGGAAUAUGACAUGUAGCGGUAAAAUGCUUAGAUAUGUCAUAGAACACCGAUUGCGAAGGCAGCUCACUAAGCCGCAACUGACGCUGAGGCUCGAAAGCGUGGGGAGCAAACAGG
rnacentral:rRNA from 1 species